AACAAGAUAGUUUAAAAAAAAACAGUAAACUGUAAAUUUAUUAAUGGAUUCCCUCUUGUAU
rnacentral:tRNA from 1 species